rnacentral:rRNA from 1 species
GACGAACGCUGGCGGCGCGCCUAACACAUGCAAGUCGAACGGUGAAGAGGAGCUUGCUCCUCGGAACAGUGGCGGACGGGUGAGUAACACGUGAGCAACCUGGCUCUAAGAGGGGGACAACAGUUGGAAACGACUGCUAAUACCGCAUAACGUAUCGGGAUGGCAUCUUCCUGAUACCAAAGGAUUUUAUCGCUUAGAGAUGGGCUCGCGUCUGAUUAGAUAGUUGGCGGGGUAACGGCCCACCAAGUCGACGAUCAGUAGCCGGACUGAGAGGUUGAACGGCCACAUUGGGACUGAGACACGGCCCAGACUCCUACGGAGGCAGCAGUGGGGGAUAUUGGGCAAUGGGCGCAAGCCUGACCCAGCAACGCCGCGUGAAGGAAG